UACGUAGGGUGCGAGCGUUUAAUCGGAAUUACUGGGCGUAAAGCGUGCGCAGGCGGCGCGUUAAGACAGGUGUGAAAGCCCCGAGCUUAACUUGGGAAUUGCGCUUGUGACUGGCGAGCUGGAGUGUGGCAGAGGGAGGUGGAAUUCCACGUGUAGCAGUGAAAUGCGUAGAGAUGUGGAGGAACACCGGGUGGCGAAGGCGGCAUCCUGGACCGGUAUUGACGCUGAGGCGCGAAAGCUAGGGGGAGCAAACGGGG
rnacentral:rRNA from 1 species